rnacentral:rRNA from 1 species
GACGUAGGGCGCGAGCGUUUGUCCGGAUUUAUUGGGCGUAAAGAGCUCGUAGGCGGUUUGUUGCGUCGGCUGUGAAAUCCCGAGGCUCAACCUCGGGUCUGCAGUCGAUACGAGCAAACUAGAGUGUUGCAGGGGAGACUGGAAUUCCUGGUGUAGCGGUGAAAUGCGCAGAUAUCAGGAGGAACACCGGUGGCGAAGGCGGGUCUCUGGGCAACAACUGACGCUGAGGAGCGAAAGCGUGGGGAGCGAACAGG